rnacentral:rRNA from 1 species
AUUGAACGCUGGCGGCAUGCCUUACACAUGCAAGUCGAACGGUAACAGAUCUUCGGAUGCUGACGAGUGGCGAACGGGUGAGUAAUACAUCGGAACGUGCCUAGUAGUGGGGGAUAACGCAGCGAAAGCUGCGCUAAUACCGCAUACGAUCUAUGGAUGAAAGCGGGGGACCGUAAGGCCUCGCGCGAUUGGAGCGGCCGAUGUCAGAUUAGGUAGUUGGUGGGGUAAAGGCUCACCAAGCCAACGAUCUGUAGCUGGUCUGAGAGGACGACCAGCCACACUGGGACUGAGACACGGCCCAGACUCCUACGGGAGGCAGCAGUGGGGAAUUUUGGACAAUGGGCGCAAGCCUGAUCCAGCAAUGCCGCGUGCAGGAAGAAGGCCUUCGGGUUGUAAACUGCUUUUGUACGGAACGAAACGGCUCUGGUUAAUACCUGGGGCUAAUGACGGUACCGUAAGAAUAAGCACCGGCUAACUACGUGCCAGCCGCCGCGGUAAUAC